UACAGAGGUCUCAAGCGUUGUUCGGAUUCAUUGGGCGUAAAGGGUGUGUAGGUGGCGCGCUAAGUCGGGUGUGAAAUCUUGGAGCUUAACUCCGAAACUGCAUUCGAUACUGCGGUGCUUGAGGACUGGAGAGGAGACUGGAAUUCAUGGUGUAGCAGUGAAAUGCGUAGAGAUCAUGAGGAAGACCAGUGGCGAAGGCGGGUCUCUGGACAGUUCCUGACACUGAGACACGAAGGCCAGGGGAGCAAACGGG
rnacentral:rRNA from 1 species